rnacentral:rRNA from 1 species
UCUGGUUGAUCCUGCCUGAACUGAUGUGUUCAUUUCAAAGAUUAAGCCAUGCAUGUAUAAGUAUAAUCUGCCAGUCAGAGAAACUGCGUACGGCUCAUUACACCAGCCUUAAUUUACUUGACCUUGACACCCUACUUGGAUAACUGUGGUAAUUCUAGAGCUAAUACAUGCACCAAAGCUCCAAUCUCCCCAGAGCGGAGCGCAUUUGUUCGCCACAAAACCAAGCGCCUCAGGGCGUUCAGUGUUGACUCAGAACAACUAAGCUGAUCGCACGGUCUUGCACCGGCGACGUGUCUUUCAAGUGUCUGCCUUAUCAACUUUCGAUGGUAGUGUAUCUGACUACCAUGGUGAUGACGGGUAACGGAGGAUAAGGGUUCGACUCCGGAGAAGGGGCCUGAGAAAUGGCCACUACGUCUAAGGAUGGCAGCAGGCGCGCAAAUUACCCACUCUCGACGCGAGGAGGUAGUGACGAGAAAUAACGAGACCGUUCUCAUCUGAGGCCGGUCAUCGGAAUGGGUACAAUUUAAACCCUUUAACGAGUAUCUAUGAGAGGGCAAGUCUGGUGCCAGCAGCCGCGGUAAUUCCAGCUCUCAAAAUGCAUAGAAUUAUUGCUGCGGUUAAAAAGCUCGUAGUUGGAUCUGUGCUGAGCGACCGGUCUGCCCACUGGGCACGCACUGGCUCGCCCGGCUUUCCCUGCCGGUCUCUCUCUGACGUUGGUUUUAACCGGCUGGCGUCAGUGGGCUGGCGAGUUUACUUUGAACAAAUCAGAGUGCUUCAAACAGGCGUCUCGCCUGAAUGUUCGUGCAUGGAAUAAUAGAAGAGGAUCACGGUCCGAUUUUAUUGGUUUUGCUGACCGAGAUAAUGGUUAACAGAGACAAACGGGGCCAUUCGUAUUGCUACGUGAGAGGUGAAAUUCUUGGACCGUAGCAAGACGGACUACAGCGAAAGCAUUUGGCAAGAAUGUCUUCAUUAAUCAAGAACGAAAGUCAGAGGUUCGAAGGCGAUCAGAUACCGCCCUAGUUCUGACCGUAAACGAUGCCAACUAGCGAUCCGCCGGCGGAUUCAUUCGCCCUGGUGGGGAGCUUCCCGGAAACGAAAGUCUUCCGGUUCCGGGGGAAGUAUGGUUGCAAAGCUGAAACUUAAAGGAAUUGACGGAAGGGCACCACCAGGAGUGGAGCCUGCGGCUUAAUUUGACUCAACACGGGGAAACUCACCCGGCCCGGACACCGUAAGGAUUGACAGAUUGAUAGCUUUUUCAUGAUUCGGUGGAUGGUGGUGCAUGGCCGUUCUUAGUUCGUGGAGCGAUUUGUCUGGUUUAUUCCGAUAACGAGCGAGACUCUGGCCUACUAAAUAGUUGGCACAUUGCCACUGUGNCAGCUGAAGGCAAAUUUGGUGCCAGCAGCCGCGGUAUUGCCAGCUGUCAAAACUUACCCACUCGACUUGAGGAGGUAGUGAUGAAAAACGCGCCAGGCGUGAGGCGCUUAUCAUAGUCCGCAAGUGCUAGCGGAGGGAUACAAGUGUUACCCGGCUUUGAACAUGGGUUUCGCUCCCGACCCGUUAGUGCUACAGCCUUCUGGCCGAUGAAGCAACUGUCUGCCGCGAUAAUUGCAGCUGAAGGCAAAUUUGGUGCCAGCAGCCGCGGUAUUGCCAGCUGUCAAAACUUACCCACUCUCGAUUUGAGGAGGUAGUGGCGAAAAACGCGCUAGGCGUGAGCAUAUCAUAGUCCGCAGGUGCUAGCGGAGGGGUCCAAGCGCUCCCAAGCUUAGAACACGGGUUUCGCUCCCG